rnacentral:rRNA from 1 species
AUUGCACGCUGGCGGCCGGCCUAACACAUGCAAGUCGAACGAGUGGCGGACGGGUGAGUAAUGUCUGGGAAACUGCCCGAUGGAGGGGGAUAACUACUGGACACGGUAGCUAAUACCGCAUACCCUCGGAUGUGCCCAGAUGGGCUUAGCUAGUCGGUGGGGUAACGGCUUACCUAGGCGACGAUCCCUAGCUGGUCUGAGAGGAUGACCAGCCACACUGGAACUGAGACACGGUCAAGACUCCUACGGGAGGCAGCAUUGGGGAAUAUUGCACAAUGGGCGCAAGCCUGAUGCAGCCAUGCCGCGUGUAUGAAGAAGUCCUUCGGGUUGUAAAGUACUUUCAGCGGGUAGGCGUUACCCGCAGAAGAAGCACCGGCUAACUCCGGGCCAGCAGCCGCGGUAAUUC